rnacentral:rRNA from 1 species
GACGAACGCUGGCGGCGUGCUUAACACAUGCAAGUCGAACGGUAAGGCCCUUCGGGGUACACGAGUGGCGAACGGGUGAGUAACACGUGGGUGGUCUGCCCUGCACUUCGGGAUAAGCCUGGGAAACUGGGUCUAAUACCGGAUAGGACCCUGGGAUGCAUGUCCUGGGGUGGCAAGCUUUUGCGGUGUGGGAUGGGCCCGCGGCCUAUCAGCUUGUUGGUGGGGUGAUGGCCUACCAAGGCGAGGACGGGUAGCCGGCCUGAGAGGGUGACCGGCCACACUGGGACUGAGAUACGGCCCAGACUCCUACGGGAGGCAGCAGUGGGGAAUAUUGCACAAUGGGCGCAAGCCUGAUGCAGCGACGCCGCGUGAGGGAUGACGGCCUUCGGGUUGUAAACCUCUUUCAGCACCGACGAAGCGCAAGUGACGGUAGGUGCAGAAGAAGGACCGGCCAACUACGUGCCAGCAGCCGCAGUAA